UGGUAAUCAGCUCCAGCCAUUUCUGCUACAGCAUCUAAUCAGAUAUUGGCUUCCUGUCCUCCCUCUUUCUUGCCAGCUGGAUGGCUGCCUUCCCAUCCUGCCUGUCCCAGCUUUGGAUAGAGGUCACAGUGAAGUUGUUCAUUUUUACCACUCUCGAGUGGAUGAUCGGGAACGAGGUUUGUCUAGGUCGACAAGCGUGCAUGUAACACCUUGUUGAAUGUGUAAUACCACCUUCUCUGCCCGCCUGUCGACACGGAGUCCUGCUUUAUUACACCAAACACAGAUCUCAUUAACAGUCACUGCGCAUCGUCUACCUGCCACCACUCUUCCAGAAGCCUGAUGCUAAGGACCGCACUCACCUAUGGGGGCUUGGCUUACUUGCCAGUUCUCUUAGGAGCUUGGCACCAACAUCGUUUCUCAUAAGCCCAUGGGUUCACUGGGCUCAGAUGGCUCUCUCUGCUCAAACCUUCCUCCCAGGACUCAAGAACCGCUUUCAAGUUCCCUCCAAACCAUGGUACGCCCUGAUAUCACUAAGAACAACAGAGUACAUUUGUAUACUGACAGAGAAGGCUGGUGAGGUGUUUGAGCAGUCACAAGAUUCUGAGCCCAGUCUUCAGAUACACCACCCUGACCUGUGUGCCCGGGGACAUCACCGUGGAGUCGUCAAAGAAAUGCUUCGCCAUUCCAGAUGAGAUUGAAUUAAGACAUAAUGAAUGUCUGGCUUAGUGUGAGCAUAAACAACAAAGAGAACUCUCAGUUUAAUCGGGGUGUUAAACCUAUCCGAGACCGAAGACAUUGUCUUAGUUACCUCUGAGGCGCUGUUAGCCUUGUUUUCUUUUGUUUCAUUUUGUUUGUGGGAGGUAUUUAUUUGUUUGAGUUCUCCUGGAACUCACUCUGCAGACCAGGCUGGCCUUGAACUCAGAGAUUCACCUCAUUCAGUCUCCUGAGUGCUAGCAUUAAAGGUGUGUGCCACCACACCUGGCUCUGAGAAGUUGUUGUUCUGAUUCU